AAGUUUUUCGGUCAGGGAUGGGCUCGCGGCCUAUCAGCUUGUUGGUGGGGUGAUGGCCUACCAAGGCGACGACGGGUAGCCGGCCUGAGAGGGCGACCGGCCACACUGGGACUGAGACACGGCCCAGACUCCUACGGGAGGCAGCAGUGGGGAAUAUUGCACAAUGGGCGCAAGCCUGAUGCAGCGACGCCGCGUGAGGGAUGAAGGCCUUCGGGUUGUAAACCUCUUUCAGCAGGGAAGAAGCGCAAGUGACGGUACCUGCAGAAGAAGCGCCGGCUAACUACGUGCCAGCAGCCGCGGUAAUACGUAGGGCGCAAGCGUUGUCCGGAAUUAUUGGGCGUAAAGAGCUCGUAGGCGGUCUGUCGCGUCUGGUGUGAAAACCCAUGGCUCAACCAUGGGCUUGCAUCGGGUACGGGCAGACUAGAGUGCGGUAGGGGAGACUGGAAUUCCUGGUGUAGCGGUGGAAUGCGCAGAUAUCAGGAGGAACACCGAUGGCGAAGGCAGGUCUCUGGGCCGCAACUGACGCUGAGGAGCGAAAGCAUGGGGAGCGAACAGGAUUAGAUACCCUGGUAGUCCAUGCCGUAAACGUUGGGCA
rnacentral:rRNA from 1 species